UUAUAAUUACUUCAAUGCAGACAAACACCCACAUAUAUACAUACAUAAUAUGUAUACAUACAUACAUACAUACAUACAUACAUACAUACAUACAUAUACACAUGCAUACAUGUAUGUGUCUAUAAAUAUUUAAUGUUAAGUCCGUAUUUUGGUUUGUAUGGUGUAAAGCAAUAAACGGUAGCAUCUUGAAUGUCCUCAAAUGUUAUAAAAAGGACAACUACAAGGAAAGCAUGCCGAUGCAUUGCCUCUCUAACUGGAUACCAGCAGUUGCUAGAAUGGUGGGAGAAAAUAAAGAUCAGAAAGGUCAGAAACUAGUAAUGCCUGCAAAACUUGG
rnacentral:lncRNA from 1 species